AUUGAACGCUGGCGGCAGGCCUAACAUAUGCAAGUCGAGCGGUAGAGAGGUGCUUGCAUCUCUUGAGAGCGGCGGACGGGUGAGUAAUGCCUAGGAAUCUGCCUAGUGGUGGGGGAUAACCCGGAGAAAUUCGGACUAAUACCGCAUAAUACCACGAAUUCGCAUGAAUUUGUGUGUUAAACAUUUAUGGCUUACAGAUGAGCAUGCGUAUGAUUAGAUAGUUGGUAGGUAACGGCCUACCAAGUCUGCGAUCAUUAGGGGUUCUGAGAGGAAGGUCCCCCACACUGGUACUGAGACACGGACCAGACUCCUACGGGAGGCAGCAGUGAGGAAUAUUGGUCAAUGGGCGAGAGCCUGAACCAGCCAAGUCGCGUGAAGGAAGAAGGUUCUAUGGAUUGUAAACUUCUUUUGUAAGGGAAUAAAGUACGGCACGUGUGCUUGUUUGUAUGUACCUUACGAAUAAGGAUCGGCUAACUCCGUGCCAGCA
rnacentral:rRNA from 1 species